rnacentral:rRNA from 1 species
GAUGAACGCUGGCGGCGUGCCUAAUACAUGCAAGUCGAGCGAAGCGGGGACGGGUGAGUAAUACGUGGAUAACCUCCUAUAAGACUGGGAUAACUUCGGGAAACCUGAUCUAAACCGGAUACUUAGAGAUGGAUCCGCGCUGCAUUAGCUAGGUGGUAAGGUAACGGCUUACCAAGGCUACGAUGCAUAACCGACCUGAGAGGGUGAUCAGCCACACUGGAACUGAGACACGGUCCAGACUCCUACGGGAGGCAGCAGUAGGGAAUAUUGCGCAAUGGGCGAAAGCCUGACGGAGCCACGCCGCGUGAGUGAUGAAGGUCUUCGGAUCGUAAAGCUCUGUUAUUAGGGAAGCGGUACCUAAUGAGAAAGCACCGGCUAACUACGUGCCAGCCGCCGCGGUAAUUC